rnacentral:rRNA from 1 species
GAUGAACGCUGGCGGCGUGCCUAAUACAUGCAAGUCGAGCGAAUGGAUUAAGAGCUUGCUCUUAUGAAGUUAGCGGCGGACGGGUGAGUAACACGUGGGUAACCUGCCCAUAAGACUGGGAUAACUCCGGGAAACCGGGGCUAAUACCGGAUAAUAUUUUGAACUGCAUGGUUCAAAAUUGAAAGGCGGCUUCGGCUGUCACUUAUGGAUGGACCCGCGUCGCAUUAGCUAGUUGGUGAGGUAACGGCUCCCCAAGGCAACGAUGCGUAGCCGACCUGAGAGGGUGAUCGGCCACACUGGGACUGAGACACGGCCCAGACUCCUACGGGAGGCAGCAAUAGGGAAUCUUCCGCAAUGGACGAAAGUCUGACGGAGCAACGCCGCGUGAGUGAUGAAGGCUUUCGGGUCGUAAAACUCUGUUGUUAGGGAAGAACAAGUGCUAGUUGAAUAAGCUGGCACCUUGACGGUACCUAACCAGAAAGCCACGGCUAACUACGUGCCAGCCGCCGCGGUAA